rnacentral:rRNA from 1 species
CGGUCGCCUCCUAAAAGGUAACGGAGGCGCUCAAAGGUUCCCUCAGAAUGGUUGGAAAUCAUUCAUAGAGUGUAAAGGCAUAAGGGAGCUUGACUGCGAGACCUACAAGUCGAGCAGGGUCGAAAGACGGACUUAGUGAUCCGGUGGUUCCGCAUGGAAGGGCCAUCGCUCAACGGAUAAAAGCUACCCCGGGGAUAACAGGCUUAUCUCCCCCAAGAGUUCACAUCGACGGGGAGGUUUGGCACCUCGAUGUCGGCUCAUCGCAUCCUGGGGCUGUAGUCGGUCCCAAGGGUUGGGCUGUUCGCCCAUUAAAGCGGUACGCGAGCUGGGUUCAGAACGUCGUGAGACAGUUCGGUCCCUAUCCGUCGUGGGCGUAGGAAAUUUGAGAGGAGCUGUCCUUAGUACGAGAGGACCGGGAUGGACAUACCUCUGGUGUACCAGUUGUCGUGCCAACGGCAUAGCUGGGUAGCUAUGUGUGGACGGGAUAAGUGCUGAAAGCAUCUAAGCAUGAAGCCCCCCUCAAGAUGAGAUUUCCCAACUUCGGUUAUAAGAUCCCUCAAAGAUGAUGAGGUUAAUAGGUUCGAGGUGGAAGCAUGGUGACAUGUGGAGCUGACGAAUACUAAUCGAUCGAAGACUUAAUCAA